rnacentral:tRNA from 1 species
CCUUUCGUGGUGUAGUGGUCAGCACGCUCGCCGUGUAGUUGAAAGGUCCGUGGUUCGAUUCCCGGCGAAGGCG